rnacentral:rRNA from 1 species
GGACUACUCGGGUAUCUAAUCCUGUUUGCUCCCCACGCUUUCGCUCCUCAGCGUCAGUUACGGCCCAGAGACCCGCCUUCGCCACCGGUGUUCCUCCUGAUAUCUGCGCAUUUCACCGCUACACCAGGAAUUCCAGUCUCCCCUACCGCACUCUAGUCUGCCCGUAUCGACUGCAGGCUCGGGGUUGAGCCCCGAGUUUUCACAGCCGACGCGACAGACCGCCUACGAGCUCUUUACGCCCAAUAAUUCCGGACAACGCUUGCACCCUACGUAUUACCGCGGCGGCUGGCAC